GCUCAUAUAGCUCAGCCGGUAGAGCACUUCCUUGGUAAGGAAGAGGUCACCGAUUCAAGUUCGGUUAUGAGCUCCA
rnacentral:tRNA from 1 species